rnacentral:rRNA from 2 species
GGCUAAUACCGCAUAACGUCGCAAGACCAAAGAGGGGGACCUUCGGGCCUCUUGCCAUCAGAUGUGCCCAGAUGGGAUUAGCUUGUUGGUGAGGUAACGGCUCACCAAGGCGACGAUCCCUAGCUGGUCUGAGAGGAUGACCAGCCACACUGGAACUGAGACACGGUCCAGACUCCUACGGGAGGCAGCAGUGGGGAAUAUUGCACAAUGGGCGCAAGCCUGAUGCAGCCAUGCCGCGUGUAUGAAGAAGGCCUUCGGGUUGUAAAGUACUUUCAGCGGGGAGGAAGGUGUUGUGGUUAAUAACCGCAGCAAUUGACGUUACCCGCAGAAGAAGCACCGGCUAACUCCGUGCCAGCAGCCGCGGUAAUACGGAGGGUGCAAGCGUUAAUCGGAAUUACUGGGCGUAAAGCGCACGCAGGCGGUCUGUCAAGUCGGAUGUGAAAUCCCCGGGCUCAACCUGGGAACUGCAUUCGAAACUGGCAGGCUUGAGUCUUGUAGAGGGGGGUAGAAUUCCAGGUGUAGCGGUGAAAUGCGUAGAGAUCUGGAGGAAUACCGGUGGCGAAGGCGGCCCCCUGGACAAAGACUGACGCUCAGGUGCGAAAGCGUGGGGAGCAAACAGGAUUAGAUACCCUGGUAGUCCACGCCGUAAACGAUGUCUACUUGGAGGUUGUGCCCUUGAGGCGUGGCUUCCGGAGCUAACGCGUUAAGUAGACCGCCUGGGGAGUACGGCCGCAAGGUUAAAACUCAAAUGAAUUGACGGGGGCCCGCACAAGCGGUGGAGCAUGUGGUUUAAUUCGAUGCAACGCGAAGAACCUUACCUGGUCUUGACAUCCACAGAACUUUCCAGAGAUGGAUUGGUGCCUUCGGGAACUGUGAGACAGGUGCUGCAUGGCUGUCGUCAGCUCGUGUUGUGAAAUGUUGGGUUAAGUCCCGCAACGAGCGCAAC